AUUGAACGCUGGCGGAAUGCUUUACACAUGCAAGUCGAACGGUAGAGGGGGGCAACCCCCUUGAGAGUGGCGAACGGGUGAGUAAUAUAUCGGAACGUGCCCAGUCGUGGGGAUAACGUAGCGAAAGUUACGCUAAUACCGCAUACGAUCUAAGGAUGAAAGCGGGGGACUCGCAAGAGCCUCGCGCGAUUGGAGCGGCCGAUAUCAGAUUAGGUAGUUGGUGGGGUAAAGGCUCACCAAGCCAACGAUCUGUAGCUGGUCUGAGAGGACGACCAGCCACACUGGGACUGAGACACGGCCCAGACUCCUACGGGAGGCAGCAGUGGGGAAUUUUGGACAAUGGGACGCGAAGCCUGAUCCAGCAAUGCCGCGUGCAGGAUGAAGGCCUU
rnacentral:rRNA from 1 species